rnacentral:rRNA from 1 species
GGGUUGUGAGGUUAAGCGAAUAAGCGUACACGGUGGAUGCCUAGGCAGUCAGAGGCGAUGAAGGACGUGCUAAUCUGCGAUAAGCGCCGGUAAGGUGAUAUGAACCGUUAUAACCGGCGAUUUCCGAAUGGGGAAACCCAGUGCAAUUCGUUGCACUAUCAUUACCUGAAUACAUAGGGUAAUGAAGCGAACCGGGAGAACUGAAACAUCUAAGUACCCCGAGGAAAAGAAAUCAAACGAGAUUCCCCCAGUAGCGGCGAGCGAACGGGGAGCAGCCCAGGACCUUAAUCAGCAUCAGUGCUAAGAGAACAGUCUGGAAAGGCUGGCCACAGCAGGUGAUAGCCCUGUAUCUGAAAGCACUGGUGUUGUGAGUCCGAUGAGUAAGGCGGGACACGUGUUAUCCUGUCUGAAUACGGGGGGACCAUCCUCCAAGGCUAAAUACUCCUGACUGACCGAUAGUGAACCAGUACCGUGAGGGAAAGGCGAAAAGAACCCCGGCGAGGGGAGUGAAAAAGAACCUGAAACCGUGUACGUACAAGCAGUGGGAGCACCUUUAUGGUGUGACUGCGUACCUUUUGUAUAAUGGGUCAGCGACUUAUAUUCUGUAGCAAGGUUAACCGGAUAGGGGAGCCGCAGGGAAACCGAGUCUUAACUGGGCGAAUUAGUUGCAGGGUAUAGACCCGAAACCCGGUGAUCUAGCCAUGGGCAGGUUGAAGGUUGGGUAACACUAACUGGAGGACCGAACCGACUAAUGUUGAAAAAUUAGCGGAUGACUUGUGGCUGGGGGUGAAAGGCCAAUCAAACCGGGAGAUAGCUGGUUCUCCCCGAAAGCUAUUUAGGUAGCGCCUCGUGAAUUCAUCUCCGGGGGUAGAGCACUGUUUCGGCUAGGGGGUCAUCCCGACUUACCAACCCGAUGCAAACUGCGAAUACCGGAGAAUGUUAUCACGGGAGACACACGGCGGGUGCUAACGUUCGUCGUGAAGAGGGAAACAACCCAGACCGCCGGCUAAGGUCCCAAAGUCAUAAUUAAGUGGGAAACGAAGUGGGAAGGCUCAGACAGCCAGGAUGUUGGCUUAGAAGCAGCCAUCAUUUAAAGAAAGCGUAAUAGCUCACUGGUCGAGUCGGCCUGCGCGGAAGAUGUAACGGGGCUAAAUUAUGCACCGAAGCCGCGGCAGCGAUAUGUAAAUAUUGUUGGGUAGGGGAGCGUUCUGUAAGCCUGUGAAGGUGGCCUGUGAGGGCUGCUGGAGGUAUCAGAAGUGCGAAUGCUGACAUAAGUAACGAUAAUGCGGGUGAAAAACCCGCACGCCGGAAGACCAAGGGUUCCUGUCCAACGUUAAUCGGGGCAGGGUGAGUCGACCCCUAAGGCGAGGCUGAAAAGCGUAGUCGAUGGGCAACGGGUUAAUAUUCCCGUACUGGUGGUAACUGCGAAGGGGGGACGGAGAAAGCUAAAUCAUCCGGGCGACGGUUGUCCCGGUUUAAGCGUGCAGGUGGACUGACCAGGCAAAUCCGGUCGGUUGUUAACACUGAGGCGUGACGACGAGCCACUACGGUGGUGAAGUGAUUGAUGCUCUGCUUCCGGGAAAAGCCUCUAAGCUCCAGGUUACCAUUAAUCGUACCCCAAACCGACACAGGUGGUCAGGUAGAGAAUACUCAGGCGCUUGAGAGAACUCGGGUGAAGGAACUAGGCAAAAUGGUGCCGUAACUUCGGGAGAAGGCACGCUGGCACUAGGUGAAGUGGUUUACCCAUGGAGCUGAAGCCAGCCGCAGAUACCAGCUGGCUGCAACUGUUUAUUAAAAACACAGCACUGUGCAAACACGAAAGUGGACGUAUACGGUGUGACGCCUGCCCGGUGCCGGAAGGUUAAUUGAUGAGGUCAGCCGCAAGGCGAAGCUUCUGAUCGAAGCCCCGGUAAACGGCGGCCGUAACUAUAACGGUCCUAAGGUAGCGAAAUUCCUUGUCGGGUAAGUUCCGACCUGCACGAAUGGCGUAAUGAUGGCCAGGCUGUCUCCACCCGAGACUCAGUGAAAUUGAACUCGCUGUGAAGAUGCAGUGUACCCGCGGCAAGACGGAAAGACCCCGUGAACCUUUACUAUAGCUUGACACUGAACAUUGAGCCUUGAUGUGUAGGAUAGGUGGGAGGCAACGAAGUGUGGACGCCAGUCUGCACGGAGCCAUCCUUGAAAUACCACCCUUUAACGUUUGAUGUUCUAACCCGGGUCCAUAAUCUGGAUCGGGGACCGUGUCUGGUGGGUAGUUUGACUGGGGCGGUCUCCUCCCAAAGAGUAACGGAGGAGCACGAAGGUUGGCUAAGCAUGGUCGGACAUCAUGCGGUUAGUGCAAAGGCAUAAGCCAGCUUGACUGCGAGAGUGACGGCUCGAGCAGGUACGAAAGUAGGUCUUAGUGAUCCGGUGGUUCUGAAUGGAAGGGCCAUCGCUCAACGGAUAAAAGGUACUCCGGGGAUAACAGGCUGAUACCGCCCAAGAGUUCAUAUCGACGGCGGUGUUUGGCACCUCGAUGUCGGCUCAUCACAUCCUGGGGCUGAAGUAGGUCCCAAGGGUAUGGCUGUUCGCCAUUUAAAGUGGUACGCGAGCUGGGUUUAGAACGUCGUGAGACAGUUCGGUCCCUAUCUGCCGUGGGCGCUGGAAGAUUGAGAGGGGUUGCUCCUAGUACGAGAGGACCGGAGUGAACGCACCACUGGUGUACGGGUUGUGAUGCCAAUUGCAUUGCCCGGUAGCUAAGUGCGGAAGAGAUAACCGCUGAAAGCAUCUAAGCGGGAAACUUGCCUCGAGAUGAGUCUUCCCUGACCCUUUAAGGGUCCUGAAGGAACGUUUGAGACUAAGACGUUGAUAGGCUGGGUGUGUAAGCGCAGCGAUGCGUUGAGCUGACCAGUACUAAUGAACCGAGAGGCUUAACCUGACAACACCGAAGGUGUUU